UACGUAGGGGGCAAGCGUUGUCCGGAUUUAUUGGGCGUAAAGAGCGUGUAGGCGGCCUUACAGGUCAGCUGUGAAAAACUACGAGGCUGCAAUCCAUCCGAGACCGUCGGGUUGAAACCGUAUGGCUAGAGUCCGGAAGAGGAGAGUGGGAAUUCCCGGUGUCAGCGGUGGAAAUGACGCAGAUAUCGGGAAGAACACCCGUGGCGAAGGCGGCUACUCUGGGACGGUACUGACGCUGAGACGCGAAAGCGUGGGGGAGCGAACAGG
rnacentral:rRNA from 1 species